AGGUGAACUACCCUUUCCAAACGGUAUAAAGAUCCUGGGCUGAAGGAGAGGAAAAGAUUCCUCCUUCACAAAUUGGGGGCUCGUCCGGGAUACCAGGAAAGGAAUGUAAUUACACUGGAGGAGCAUCUCUUACAGUCAGCGGCCGCAACUAAGUAAAAGGUGAGCAGAAAACCUCUUAACCAAAUUUUUGCAUGUCUUAUGAGACAUCUCGUGGCUGUGAGAGCAUGUUUCAACAGUAGUACUGUUUGUAAGAAUAAAACACAGAGAAUACGUACGGAUUAGUCUACCAGAGAAGGGUUUAGAAGGUCCCCUCGUCCAGAUAGUCAGGCUGGAUAUUGCCUGAUUGGCUGGAUGUAAAAGCUGCCCUCUGAGUUUAUGAGAAAAGGCCAGAAAAGAAGAUAAGAUAAGAAAAAGGGCCGAGUGCACGGUUAAGAGGCCGGAGGGGUCUGAUCAGCCCCCAAAAAGGACCGCCGUCUAGGAGUUAAGGGUUUAGAAGGUCCCCUUUGUCUAAAUAUUCAGGCUCGUAGAUCGCCUAUGUAUUCAGAGAAUAGAAGCUGCCACUCCGAACGCCCUGUAGCCAGACUAAACGAGUUAGGGUUUAAAAGGUCUCCCUUUGUCGGAAUAUCUAGGCUUGUAGAUCGCCUAGGUAUUCAGACAAUUAAAGCUACCACUCUGAGUGUCUGAGUAGAUAAGACUAAAAGAGUUAGGGUUUAAAAGGUCUCCCUUUGUCGGAAUAUCUAGGCUUGUAGAUCGCCUAGGUAUUCAAACAAUAAAAGCCACCACUCUGAGGGUCUUGAGUAGAAGAGACUAGGAAUCAGGGUUUAAAAGGCCUCCCUUUGUUUGAAUACUUAGGCAUGUGGAUCCCCUGGGUGUUCAAAGAAAAAAAGCUGCCACUCCGAGUGCUCGAGUAGAACAGACUAGGAGUUAGGGUUUAGAAGGCCCCCUUUGUCUGAAUAUUUAGGCAGUGGAUCCCCUGGAUAUUCAGAGAAUAAAAGCUACCACUUCGAUGUCUGAGUAGAUAGAUAGAUUACUUAAUUCAUCCCCGAAGGGAAAUGAGGUAAGGGAGUAGGAAUAGGAGAAGUACAGGAGAAGAAUUUAGAGGUCUCUCAUUCAGACGAUUUGGGCCCGAUAUUGCCUGUGUGUCUGAGUGUAAAAGACACCCUCUGAGGUAAUAGAAUAAAAAAAUAAGAAAUCAUUAUAAAAUAGCAGAAAUAGAGAAAGAUAAAAGAGCCUAGGAGGUUUAUGUAGGUAUUAAAAAGGUGUUUUUUGUUUUUACUGUUGUGAGUGAGAUCUUCAGAGCAUGCCGAAGCAGCGGGUGGACGGAAACCUAACAGUGAUAACAUAAGUCCACUGUCUGUUGAAGUAAGCUGUUCAAUGGUCUAAAUAAGCUCUGGUGUCGUGACCGGGUCCUUACGUGAAUGGUCACUUGGGCUGAGAACUCGGGACAUAGUGUGCCGUACCUCUCAGCUGGCCAGAGUGUGUGAAUGAGAACACAGUAUGUGUGAUUCAGGACACAGCUGAACCAGGGACUUUAGGAGCCCAUAUAAAGGAAAGGAGGGACAGAAUAAAAGGAUCCUUCCUGGAGAAGAGAGCAAAACAGUAGCUUAAAGAUUUUGAAAAAUGGUGCAGAGACGUAACAACAGAUGGUCUGUUCGGUGGCUUAGGGGGGGCCCCCCCACCGACAACCACUCUAUACGGGAACUCUCUAAAAUAUAAAAACCAAACAAAGACAAUUGAUUCAGCUGAUGACACAAUUUGAAAAAUCGGGAAGGUUAUCAAAGGGAAAGAAAGAAAAUUAAUGAAGAACUCUAAUGAACAAUAUAGCCCAAAUAAUUUGUUUGUACUGAUGCCACAAAUGAUUGUAACCAAAGGCAUGCUUACAUGUGAAUUAAAAACCCACGCCAGAGGAGGCUGUUGAGCAAGCAUAUAAAGAAGCGGUAAGAGAUGAGCAGUUAAAAGAAAUGAAAAGUACGUUGAAUGAAUUAAAAGAUGAGACUCCAAAUUAACCGUUAAAGCCAGUGAAGUAGAGUCAAGGACAGAGUAUGGAGACACAGGAGGGAGUGAGGGAGAUAGAGCAUGGGGGUUAAGAAAGUGGAUGACAGGGACAUGAUAAGAUAUCUGGAAGAACAAACAACCAAACCAUAUGAUACAACACAACUAACAAAGGUCCUGAAACAGUUGGGAGAGCAAGCCACAGAACGGAUAGAAGCCUUGGAAGGAUUAGAACACGGGCCGCAACACAGUUGUAACAAACCGCGUCCUAAACACACUAGUACAGAAACAAAAAUUAUGGAGCCAGACCGAAAACAAGCUGUUCUGUUUUACAAUUGGACAGCGACACAGAACAAGGGGGGGGCUACACCAACAUACAUGCUGUAUCCACGUGACUUGACCCAAGAUACAGAACGGGUAUAUGGACAAAAAAGGGACAGGUCAUUAUUAGCUGAGGUCUGGACAGAAGAAUGAGGCUCCUGAUCAGUUCCCCCUGAUAGAAACUAGGACCAGUGUGGGACAAAUAAAGGAGAGACAGUACAACCCACUGUCCUAUGCAGACCAAGCACUGCUAAAAACCACACUGCCAGAAGCCACAAACGGAGGAAAUAACUGGAUAAGAGAAUUUCUAAAAACCUUUAGUGGGCAGGUGCUGGCCAUGGGAGACGUAAAAGCGUGUUUGGUUGCACACUUGGAACCCCAUGAAUUAGCCCGGUUGGAAACAGUCGCCGGAACCGUACAGGUCGUUACAGCGGAACCUCUUGAAUGCCUGGCCCCCAGGCUCUGGGUGGCUUUGAGAACUCAAUACCCAGUAAAAACUGACUCUAAUCAAAUGAAAGAUAUCUACAAAAAGCCCAGGGAAGCAGGGAAGGAGUAUAUAAACCGUUAGUAAAAACUAUGGGAGGGUUACACAGGGUCCAGCCCAUUAGCUGACUCGCUACAGAGACUGUUUAAGCAAGCCGUGAUAAAAGGACAAACAGGUGCGGUUAGAGAAGAAAUGGAGAAAUUGGUAAUCGGAAACAGCAUGCCCCUGGAAAUGUGGAUUGUCACUUUGGUUCACCACUUAGAUCGGGAAGAUGAGAGUAAAAAGAGACAUACAGGGAGUUUGAAAAACUUAAUAUGCAGCUGCUGCAAGAACAGUUGAAGGAGCUGAAAGACAAGGUCACUGAUAAAAUUAAAGAAACCAAAAAGAUUAAAGCCCAAAUGCCUGCUGUAUCUACAGCUCUGCUUAGUGGCCAAAUUCAAAUACCCCUGCCAGCAGAUGAAGGGCCGGUACGCAUAUAUCAAAUGUAUCAACAAUAUCCCCCAGGUGGCCAAUACAGGGGAAGCUAAGAACUUAGGACCUAUGAUAACACAAGCUAUUGAUGCAAAUGAUUGGCAGGCAGUGACAGGGACCACGCUAAUGGAAUACAGUCCCUCUUGUAAAUGCUACAAGCUAAAGUAUAAUGGAACAAUGCCAGAGAAAACACUGACUCUGAAUUGGCUAUGCAACUCUUGAAACAAAUACCAGACGAAGUGUGGGCAACUGGACCUUUUGAUGUAGGACAUUGCAGAGAAAUACCUCCUAUCAUACUACAGAUGAAAACACCAGAGAUCAUAAACCAACCUCAAUAUCCCCUAUCGAGUGAGAAGGUAAAUGGAAUCAGUGGAACGAUUGAAAGCCUGCUUAAAGCUGGAGUAUUGAUACCAUGUAAGUCCGAUUACAACACACCUAUCACUCCCGUGGCUAAACCAGGGAGGGAAGAUCAUAGGUUAGUGCACGAUCUCAGAAAAAUAAAUGCAGGAUUAAAGACUUCACAUUUUGAGACACCCAACCCAUACACAAUGCUCUGUAAUCUAGAUCAAAAAUUUAAAUGGUUUAUGGUGAUGGAUCUAUCAAAUGCAUUCUUCUGCAUCCCUAUAGCGCCAGAGUGUAGACACCUGUUUGCGUUCACUUUUGAAGGGAAGCAAUAUACCUAUAUUAGAUUACCACAAGGCCUCACGGAUAGUCCUUCCCUGUUUAACCACUCACUAUGGGUUCUAAGGUCCAAAUUCCAAAUUCCAAAAUCUGUUGUAUAUUGCAAUAUGUUGAUGACAUUCUAAUCUCAGGCGAGACUGAGGAAAACGUAGCACAACUGACAACCACUUUGCUUACAUGGUUAGGGGAGAAAGGGUUACAUAUCAGAGUAUGCUGAAACUGGGUCCCCUUUAAGGAGACUCAUUACAGAUACAGGACAUAGCCAGCUAAAAGCUAACCUUACCUGGACUAAGGAAGCAGAAGAGGGCUUCAUCACCUUAAAACAACAGCUAGCACAGGCUAGUGAGCUCGCCGCUCCUGAUUUGGGGAAAAUGUUUGAACUUGAUGUGAAAGAAAAAGAUGGUUUUGUGAGCCCCGCACUGUGGCAGCCCGGAGCUCAAGGGAGGACCGUGUUAUGCUAUUAUAGCACUAAAUUAGAACCAGUGGAAAAAGACCAUCCUACUUGCACCAGAGCACCAUGUGCUAUAGCUAAAACACCAAAAGGGACAGCUCACAUCACACGAGGACAGGACAUCACAGUACACAUAAGCCAUGCGGUAACAAGCUACAUUUAAAGCCAAAAUGUUCACCUUAAGCCAACAAAGGACCAGUAGAAUGCAUUAUGUCAGUUCAUGAAGGAAGAAAUGAAUGAGACUAUGAAACAGAAAGUCAUUAGUGAAGUAAGAGUAUGUAAGAGUAUGUAAGAGAAUGAGUACGUUGAGUAUGCAAGCUAAAGCAGCCCCUCAUGAAAAACAGGCGUGGGUUGACAAAAGAGAAAAAAAAAUGUGAAAUAACAGGCAUAUGGAGGUCACAUGAUGGGAGAAUUGUUACCUCCUCUACCUUACUGAUGAUGUUAUGUGAAGAGGGACAUAAAAGGGGACAUCAAUCAGGGAGAAGGCUUACUGAAAUGAUAGGGGGAAAAAUGGUGGCAUCCCUAUCUAUCAGAAGUGUGUAAAUAUUUUGUAGAUACAUGUUCCAGUUACUCCAAGUUUAACCCACGAGCAACUCUUAAGAUGGGGAUGGGAGCGUUUCCCGUCCCAAACAGACCAUGGCAAGAAGUGGUGAUUGACUUCACAGACAUGGGAAUUAAUCAAAGAGUAAAAGGCUGUAGAUAUUUGCUUGUUUGUGUUGAUACUUUUUCUAGAUGGGUGGAAGCUAAACCCACCACAACUGAAACAGCUCAAGAGGUCAUAAAUUGGUUGAUAUAUGACUUAAUACCUUGCUACAGGGUCCUAGAAAGUAUCUGUUCGGAUAAUGGGACCCAUUUUAUAGAAGAGUCCUUAAAGUUGGACAGAGGCUAAACCUCUGGUCCUAUUCCCAUUGAGAUCCAGCCCAAGUGACACAACAGGACUCUCGCCUCACGAGCUGAAGAAAAAUGCCCUGUCCAUUCACAAAUAACCUACAUAGUGGUGAAGCUCCUGACCUGGCCAGUCAGGAGAAAGAGAUGCAGGAAGCAGUUUAGUUUUUGUCUCCCUGGAUACAGAAAAUCCUUAAAAAAGGAGCCCACUGGAGCUCCACCAGAGGAGAUAAAAGAAGGAGAGUGGAUUUACAGAAGAGUGUUCCACAGGACGUGGGAGGAGCCAAGGUGGAUCGGCCCGUUCAAGGUAGUAUCAUCAACUACAUAUGGUGUGAGAGUCUGACUGGAUGAGGAGCAGACUAAGCUAAGUAAAUAUUGGCGCAAAACACACUGUAGAAAAGGACUGCCGUCCACAGAGAGAAACCUUAGAGAAAUCAGAAAGCACCUAAGGGACAUAGGCGAAGAGACAGAGGGAGAAUAAGAUGAUGACCUACAGGUCAUGGCUUACACUGGCCUGUUUGGCAGUGGUAAGUCUAAUAGCGGCCGUGCUGUUAGUAUGGCUAAAUGUAGAGGAGAGAUCACAGAUUAAGGAAAAGGAUGCUGUAAGUAUCCGCCACAAAAUAAUUAUUCCAACAGGGGGACCUAAAAUUUGAACACGAUGAGAAACUCACCAAGAUCAAUAUAUACAGAAGUACGAGUGCUUGAGCUUUAUUAUGAACGGGGUACCAGAUAAGUAUAAAUUAGCUGAUCAGAUCGCAGCCGGGUGGGGAAUCCACAUUCCUCUGGAUCACCCCUAACAAAAAUGUGAAGGGAAUAAAUUAUUUACAUUACAAUAUCUAGAGAUUGGCAAACUAUACAAGAGAUGGGUCUCUUACUGCACACCAGAAUAGACUUGCUUCUGCUCUGAUCCUGACUGAAAAGGGAGGUGUCUGUAGCAUGUUUGGAGAAGUGUGCUGUACAUUCAUCCCCUUCAAUACUGCCCCUGAUGGAUCCCUGACCAAAACCUUGAGAGGCCUUAGAGCCCUCUCGAAUGAAUUAAAAGAACAUUCUGGGGUCACAGACCCCUUAUCUGGCCUGUUUGACAAAAUCUUUGGUAAAUUGGGAAAAAUUAGUAGUUAGCGUAGCUACCUCACUGGCUAUUGCAUUUGUGGUGGUUGCUCUGUGUGGUUGUUGUUGUAUCCCAUGUACUAGGGCUCUCAUCGUGCGGUGUAUCGACAAGGCGCUGGGGAAUAUGGAGUUCAAGGGAGCGCCACCAGCGCAUCAGAUGAACCUAGCAGAGGGCGUGCCUCUGCUUGAUCCAAGUGCUGAGAUACAGGAGAGGCCAUUCCAAUAUUCAGAUGGGGACUCUGACAAUGAGCCUGACCUGGAUGAUGUAAUAAGUGGUGAGAGCUGAUUUCAUGUCAUAAAUCGGUGGUUUAACUGGUGGCCACUCCUUUCCAUGCUGAACUGUUUAGGGAAGCAGUGCGCUCUGCAGUACAAGAAACCUUAGUCAAAGAACCCAAUGUUGAGCAGCUACCAAGGUGCAGUGGAAAGGCACUCAGUACAAAAGGGGACUCCUGUGUUUAAACCAAGUCCUCCUAGUCAUGGAUGCAGAGAGUCCGCUUCUGUCUUUCAUCAAAUCAGUGCCUAAACUGAGAGACCCUAAGCGUUUGCUGGAGCAUCUGCAAUGUUUAGGAGUUGAGGACCUGAGCUACCUGCAGGAUAGUGACCUCCUUUCUGUCCUGAAGUAGCAACACCUGAUCUGCUGAAACAAGCCGUGCAGAAAAUGAGAACAUUUAAUAAGGACAUGGGUGAAGGACCAUACGUCUUUUUGUAUCCUGACUGCUCAGAGGUGGGCCAUGUGCCUGGGACAGAAAGGCCAUUCAAAUUGACUGAAUAUAAAAAGGAAAAUGGGAAGGCAUAUUGCAGGAUCACUUUUUUCCUUUGCCUAGAAACACACUUUAAAGGAGUGGAUGAUACCCCAGACUCUGAUUCCUCAGAUUCUGAAAUUGUGAUCACAUCCAGCAGCAUAGCUCAAUUCAAUCGGGCUGACACUGUGGUGUUUGAACCACAAAACCAAAGUACACCCAAGCGCAAACCUGAAGAUAAAGGAGAUGCUCCUGGGAAUUCAAGCACAGUUCAACCUGGACAGAUUCAAAGAUGGUCUUCCAGCCCUUAAGUUUUUCACUGUAGUUAAGCAACACCUUGCUUUGUUGUCCCCUGUCCUGACCCACUCGGAAAAGGGGCAAAAUGCUCUUGAACUUGAGAGACUCUUCAAACCUGAUCUCAGUCCACCAGGGAAUAACAGGAGACUUAAAGAAAGUGAAACUUUGGGCUACUGGAUGAACUAUCUCCUUGACUGUGAAGAAGGUCAGGCUGCUGUAUCUGUGGAAGAUGUUUUCAUGUUUGCAACUGGACUGACGUCACUUCCCCCAUCUGGAUUGGAACCAUCAACAAGAAUAGAGUUCCUGGAUGACUUUCCAUUCCCAAGGGCAAAAACAUUUUGCCCCAAAAAUUCCCCAGGAUUUGGAUGUUUUUAAGCCAUGAGGUGACCCCUGGGGACUCUGAAAAGGUUGUUAUUAAAGGUUAAGAAUCUUUAAAAUGUAAAGAUAUGUGAGCUUGUUUUUUUCUCACAGUUAACAUUUUGGCCAUUCUACUUUAGACAAAAUAAACAAAAAAGAAGUCCAAGGAAGAAGGCCAAAAGGUUUUUGAUCUUUGUACUUACAAAAAUGUAAUAAAUAUGCAUUACUUUA